ACCACAAACCAAUACCUCUUUUGCUUCCCACAUUUUGUACAUUAGUUAUAUGUAUAUUACUAAUUUCUUUUGCCAUCGUCUUUUUAGAAAGAAACUAAGUUGGAUCUUUUUUGAGAUUUUUUUUGGAAGCCCAAUCUGGAGUACACCUUGAGCAACCUUCUAAUGCCCUGUUAAAAUAAAUUUUCCCAAGAGAGAACCAACAAGAAUCAACCUCAAGCUCUUUGCAUUGUAUGCAUACUUCUAUUAGUCCUCUCAGUCCAAUUGUGAAGGGAUUGGCUAUACAGAAUAGAAUCUUCUAUUUGUAGUCCCACAUCGAUAAGGUAUCGAUGUAGAUAUGGAUAGUUCUGAGUAUAAAUAUAAAGCACGCAGGAUUGAGAAACAUACUUACCUGGACGGGGUCAAUAAGUGAUCAAGAAGGCUUAUGGCCUAGGUUGGUGACCUCCAUUGCACACAGGAGGGGUGCCCGCCUAAGGUCUCCCCAAGUGGGAGAGCCUACGUCAUAAUUUGUGGCAGUGGGGGCCUGCGUUCGCGCGGCCCCUGCCUGAUAUAUGUUCUUAACUAUUUUCUGCAUCGAAGGGCAUCCUUUCACUUGUUUCUUACUCCCAAGUCGGAGAACCUGCACUUUCACUUGUUUCUUUACUCUUAAGUGGGAGAACCUGCAACUUUAAUUUGUCAAGCUACUCUAGCCUUUUCUUCACCCACCUCCUUUAACUCCUACAAAUCAGAGCCCUACUCCACGCGAAGUUUCUUGGCAAUUGUUGUUUUUAGAACAAAGACCCAUAUUAAUGAUUAUUUCCAUUGAAAUACGAGGAAGAAAUGAAUAUUAUUAAAAAAAAAAACCAAAAAUGUUGGAGAGUCCAGUAAAAUAUUCUCUGCAUGCAGACUUAGAAGGGUUGGAAUCGUCGAGAAGGCAUCUCUAGCCUAGUUGGUAGUAUUUUAUAUAGCGAAUAACCAAUAUAAAAUUCCAUCACCAUCUUCCAUACCCAAUUAGCCAAACCCAGUAUUAAUUUACGAAACUCAACAUAUUGCUGGCAUGUUCUGCGAUACCAUUUCCACCAUUAUUGUUGUCUUGGUGUCAUGGAGGUCGAUUCAACGAGGAUUUCUCUCCGUCCAUUCAAGCUAACGGACGUGGAUGAUUUUAUGUUAUGGCAGGUGAUGAUCAAGUGACAAGAAACCUACGAUGGAAGACUUUUAACUCUAAGGAAGAGGCUUUGACUUUCAUCACGGAUGUUUGCAUACCCCACCCUUGGCGACGAUCCAUAUGUAUCGAUGACCGUUCGAUCGGCUUCAUCUCCGUUUUCCCGUGGUCCGGCGAUGAUAGGUGUAAGGCUGAUAUAGGGUAUGGAAUUUCCACAAAGUAUUGGGGCCAAGGGAUUACUACCAGGGCAGUGAAGAUCGCCCUCUCACAAUUGUUCAAAGAUUUCCCUGAUCUGGUAAGGUUGCAAGCUUUUGUAUUUGAGGAAAAUAAAGCCUCCCAGAGGGUAUUAGAGAAAGCUGGGUUCCAAAGGGAAGGGCUACUAAGGAAGUAUACCUUUAUUAAGGGGAGACUUGUAGAUCUACUUCUCUAUAGUGUUUUAUCAACUGACUCCCUCCCUACAGAUCCUCAGGGCUCAGCUUAAGAACUAUAAUAAAUUCUCUGAUCUAUACAUAGAUAAGGGAAUGGUAAGAAAAAUGGUGCAAGAGAUCUAGGGUGGAUAGUAAGACUGGGUUUAGCGUAGACAAGCUGGAGGAGACUCAAAAUGGGAAUGCUCCUUGAUAUAUCGUAGAAAGCGGCACAACUGGCGAGGUUGUGUGCAGCAAAGUUAGGCAUUUUUUGAGCGGAUCAGCAUGUGCAGCCGUUGAGACUGGCUUGUUUUAUCAUGUGGUUAAUAAGUUCUAUAUCUAAAAUGAUGUUCUUAUUGCUUAUUUUAUCUAAUUGUGGUUAUUAUAGAAAAAAUCUAUUUACAAUCUUGUUUAUUGACGUAUCAUCGAUGUAAAAGCCUUCCACAUCAGUUAGUUUAAAAGAAGUAUUCGUGUUUAGCCUUAUUGUAAAACUACAUGAUUUCGACUCUGGUGCAUGUAUGUAGCACACUAGCUAGCACUUCAUUUCCAUUUCACUGCAUCAGUGAACAACCAUAUACGUAGAUGCAAAAUCACCAAGUUACCUGAAAACAGCACCAAAGCUAGUGCCAGUCAGUGGUUACUCUUGCAGUCAUGAUCUUGUGGGUACGGCGGAUAGUUUGAGAGCCAUAUUUUAUAGCUUCUAGAUGACAAUGAAAAUGCUAC